AGUGAACGCUGGCGGUAGGCCUAACACAUGCAAGUCGAACGGCAGCACAGAGGAGCUUGCUCCUUGGGUGGCGAGUGGCGGACGGGUGAGGAAUACAUCGGAAUCUACUCUGUCGUGGGGGAUAACGUAGGGAAACUUACGCUAAUACCGCAUACGACCUACGGGUGAAAGCAGGGGAUCUUCGGACCUUGCGCGAUUGAAUGAGCCGAUGUCGGAUUAGCUAGUUGGCGGGGUAAAGGCCCACCAAGGCGACGAUCCGUAGCUGGUCUGAGAGGAUGAGCAGCCACACUGGAAAUGAGACACGGUCCAGACUCCUACGGGCGGCAGCAGUGGGGAAUAUUGGACAAUGGGCGCAAGCCUGAUCCAGCCAUACCGCGUGGGUGAAGAAGGCCUUCGGGUUGUAAAGCCCUUUUGUUGGGAAAGAAAUCCAUCUGGUUAAUACCCGGGUGGGAUGACGGUACCCAAAGAAUAAGCACCGGCUAACUUCGUGCCAGCCGCCGCCGUAA
rnacentral:rRNA from 1 species